CGCUUGACAAACGACUCUAAAAUUACCUAAUAUUGCUAGAUACCGCCGAGAGAUGGCGAUCGGUCAUUAUUUACUGAGAAGGAUGUAUCCUAACGUACCAUCCCUCUUGAGAGCUGCGCAAACCACUCCGAUUGUAAGUCGAAGUUUUGAUUGCUGGACAGCUGCAAUAACAAAACGGCAUAGACGAGUAUACGAAAGGGAUUAUCCAGUGACCCUUAUUUUACCUGAUGGUAGUAGUCUAUCCAUUCGAUAUUUUGAACCAAGAAAAAUCAUUCACCUCCCGCUGGAUCUUUCUACACUGUCGGAGGCUGAGAAAAAGGCACGAAUCGAAAAUCGUAGGCCGAAGACCAAAAUUUCAUUAGAAUCAGAGGAGGAAAAUGUUGAAUUCGAUGCAUUUAAAUACAUUAAGAGGAAAGUACGAUAAGCAUGAUGGAUUAUGUUACUAAUGGAUAGAUGUAGAAAUCCUGCCACCGCAAGAACUUAUGUACCAUAGAAAACUUUUUUUUUCGACUAGUUGGCAGAACCAAAUAUUUUAAACUAAAAUUAAAACCAAAGAUAGAGUUAAUUGUCCUGCGGAACUGUUCAAGUAAAACCAGAAUAUACGAAUAUAAUUAUAGAAUGAAACCAUAAUUCUUCACCAUAAAUUUAACAGGUACGUCUGAUCGUAAUGGUCAAUUUUCACUAUACCUUCCAUAAAUUCAUUUAAUAGAGGCAUCCUUCGCGCCGUGAGGUCUGGAAAGGACGACGAGGAGUGUUAAAGGACUUUCUCUUUUGACCGACGACUUGGUUCCUCAUAAUUUCCGAUCAUCCGCUAGCCAUAGAUAAUCGUCAAGUAACAAUGCCAGGAGAUUCCGGGACCCCUUCUUCGGCGGAUUCACCGUUAGCCUGCCCGCGGCGGAUGUUCCGCAAAAUCCCGGAGAAAUUGUUAUUACGGGUACAGAUUAUUUAAUGAAGCACUUUACGACGUUUCAAGACUCAUUAUCGCGCCAUCAGGAGCGCUUUCGUAACCGUGUUGCUUCUUUUGAUAAUCAUGGAGCAAUCGGGGCGCCGGAACUCUGAGACACGAGGAUCCAUGGCAAAAGAACUUUGUCAAUAUUCUUUGUCAAAUACGUAUGUUAUUAAAAGUUUGAUCAUUAAUCAAACUUGGAUGAGAAACUUUGAUAACAAAAAAAAAUACAGACGGUGACAUUUUUCCAUCAAAUUUUCCAUCAAUGUGUCAGAGUUGCAGAGCAUUUUCAUGCUGUAAUCGCCAAAAAUGGACAGUAAAACAGACAUGAAGUAAACUAUUACAAAUAAAAACAAAGUUAAACAAUUAAGAACGGUAAUACAUGUAAAAUAAAACGGUGUAGCCUCG